UUUUGAAGUAGGUUCAUAUCUGUUGUUAUUCUUUGAUCAUCACGACAGCCCUUGAGGCUCUUCUUUUUCAGAUGAAGGUAUGAUGAUUCCUCUGCGGAGCACACGGUCCUGGAGCCGGCAAGCCCUCCCCUCACUCGGCUCCAGGCGGCCUUCCUCCGCGCCGGAGCCCAGCUUCCCUGGGAUUUGUACCCACGGGCAUCCAGAACUCCAGCACUGUCAGCAAGAUGCUGGGUCUUAGGUAAUUCUCAGCUUUGCUUCAGGACAUCCUAUUUGUGGUACCUCACAGUGGUAGUGAAGUAUGCCAAUUGUUAAUUUCGAUUCACUCUCACGAAAUAAUCUCUGAGUGGUAGACUCCAGGUGCCCUCAAAUGUGCUCUGUUUUAACAUUUCUCAGGCAGUCCCACAAGGGGGCACCAGGAGCUCUCUGAGUGGACCCAGUUCCCCCAGCCGUUCUUGUGAUAGUUUAAGCCAUUCCUUAUGCAUCGCCAGAAACAGAAAACUUCACACUGAUGAACUUUGGGGCAAAAAUGCACUUACUACAGCUUACUUGGUCAAAAUUCUACUUUAACCCACUGGACGGAACUGGUUUCUUCUCAGAAGCACGUGCUAAAUGUAAGGGCUAUUUCCCUCACACCCUUAUUCUUGCCCUGUGUUAGUUCGUGGGGUAUUUUCUCAUAAUUAGGUCCCGCUGAUGUUUAUCAGGUCCUCCCACCUCUUAACAUGCCCCCCACGCCUCACGGCAUGUGGAUACAGCAACCCUAAGAACUAAGGUCUAGUGAUGUUCAUUUAAUGUUGUAAGCGCCUCAGAGGCGGGGCCCACGCCCUGUGCUUUGUGUAUCCCCGCAGGCUCCGUGCAGCGGGGCCAUCUUGGCGCCCCCGUGAGGAGGGGGCUGUGCCCUGCACACAGCGGUCACUCAGACACCGGCCCACCAAGCCUCGGAGACACCCAGCAUCAUUUCCGCUGCAGUUUACUCACUGAGUCCACCGCAGGGGAGCUCCCACCCACUUCAAGGCCUGGGGAAAUGGGGUCUUGAUGGGGCAGCGACAACAUUCUGGAAGAGCAUGUGGGACUAGAAAUAUGACCGUGUCCACUUUUGGAAGGUACAGUCUGCCUCGGAGUCUGUUGUGUGAUGGUGCGCACAGCAGAUGGAGGUAACAGCAGCCUGCGGAGGGGCAGAUUUCCUUGUCACCAUGAAACGAUGUCCCCUGCUCUCCAGUGCCAACCUUCCUUGUGCUCCCGGAAGGGCCGUCUCAGAGUGGGCAUCCAGUGGGCAUUUCUCUCUCCUCCUCAGUCAUGCUAUCCUACUGCCCUCCUGGCUCAGCCGCACCAACCCUCAUGCCUUCCCCGGAUGCUCUGGUUCACAAUGUUCUCUCCCUUCUUAUACCACUGACUGAGCCCAUACACGCCUCCUCUAUUAUGAGUUAAUUUUCUUGUGUGUAUGUUUACCCCUCAACUAGAUAGUAACCCCUUGGCAUUUCUUCCACUGCCUUACACAGAAUGACCAUUCAAUCAGUGGUUCUUGGCUAAAUUAUGCAUUCAUUACAUCACCAUAAAGUUCAUCUCCAUGGGCUACAUUUCAACAUGGAAGAAAACUGCCACCCCAUGACCUAUUUAAAAAUGUGGCAUCUCACUUGAGUGCUGGGAUGCUCUUCAAAGACAAGAAAAUAAAGGUGAUUUCCAUCGACUUCUUGAGGCUCUGUUAUUUUCCAUUGAUUGAAGGCUACAUAUUUUUCCUAAUCUGAAAAGCCCAAUGGGGAGAAAAUUUGUGUCUGUUCUCCUCCCAUCUCUUAAUAGCCCUGUUCCCAGCUGCCUUCAGUCGUGUUCUUGGCAGAGGGACAGGUAGAACCCUACUCCAAGGACUUGAAGAAUAUACCCUAAUUAGAGGGACUUACACUUAGCAGGGAACAGGUAAAAUGCCUGAGUGAAGGAGGAAGCAAAACUCCCCCACUGCCAGCAUCCGGCUCCUUUGGGCAUAUGCCCAACUUUGGGGAAUUCUUCCACUUCGAGUCCUGCCUCCCAUGGGGAGGCUUCAGAAGGCUUUGUUUCUGGGGCCAAGUUGCAGAAAGUGUACAGUAAAAAUGGACAUUAGAAUUGCCUUCCCCAAGACUGCAUUACUCAUAUAAAAUUGAUCAAGAGCACAGACUCUGGAACCAAGCUGCAGGGUUUGAAUCCCAUCUCUGGUGCUUACCAGCUGUGUGACUUCAGAGGAAGAUGAAGACAGGGCGUGGAGGGAAGAUGGCCACGAGCAGGCAGAAGCAGAGCUGGGAGGGAUGCGGCUGCAAGCCCAGGAGAAGGCCUGGGGGGCCAGAAGCCAGGAAAAGCAGGAAGGUCCCUCCUCGGGAGGCUUCAGGAGGAGCACGGCCCUGCUGACACCUCACUUUCACCCCUCUGGUCUCUAGGAAGCUUGCUGUGGUUGCACAGCCCUCUUCUGAAGGGGCAGGGCCCCC